UUUUUUUUUUUUCUUCAAUUAUCUAAUCACACGAAUUUUACUUACAAUUGCAUGCGAAUGUAUAUUUAUUUUUUAAUUUGAUAAACAAAAAGAUUUUCAUGUAUAUAUGAGAAAUUAUAGUUGAUAAUAGUUAUCGGUGGUAUUGCUUAGAUAUCUAUAUAUUUGCGAAAAGAUAUGACAAUGACAUGAGAAAGAAAAAAUAAAUUAAAAUAAAAUAAAAAAAUAGAAAAAGAAUAUAAGAAUCAUCAUCGUGCUAAUGUUAGAUUUGUCAAGCGCAUACGAGAAACAAAGCUCGGCCGUAAGAAGAGAAAAAUUAAUUGGAGAAACUCAGCAUUGUGUACGUGAGCAUGAACGAUAAUCAAUCGGAAAUGAAAGAAAAUGUCCGUAUGAAAACAUUCAAUACAUUAAUGCGUUUGUUUAACGUCAAUGCAAACGAGAAUACCGGAUAGGCAAUCGGGAGAAGUCAAUCAACGGGUAGCAAGCGCCAUAAUACAUAUAUUGUUUAUACAUACGUAUAGACGACUCGUCCUUCACGAAUUCCAUGCGAAAGAUAUUUCUGUGCAUGCGCUAAGAGAAAGAGAGGAAGAAAGAAAGAAAGAUGGAAGGUAAAGGAGAGAGAGAGAGAGAGAGAGAGAGAGAGAGAGAGAGAGAGAGAGAGAGAGAGAGAGAGAAGGCAGCUUAUUAUCCUGAUGUUCCCAAUGCAGGAUAUGCAGUAUGCUAAGUGGAUGCAAACAUUCACCGACUAUGCGCAGGAAUACAAAUGGAACCCAGGUGCCACCGCGUUUGUUCGUCGACUCCCUUCUUCUCCGCGCACUCCUCUCCAAGUCUAUCCUCCAUUCCUCUUCUCCACUCCUCUUCUUCGAGUCUCCUCUUUCUCUUCCUUCUUCUUCCAGUCCGGACCUCCCAUUUACAUAUCUUUUCUUAUCCCUCUCGCCUUAUACCUACCUAAGCUACUAGAUUACGUUAUAUAAGCGGCGCCAGCAUAUUUUUUUUUCUUCCUUCACCUCCUGUGCGUUCCCUUCGUAUAUUUUACAAGUAUGUACUAGGAUGGAAAUCUAGUAUUUUCGAAUAUAUGAAUAGAAAAAAGAAACCAGCGGGAGGUUAACCGUACUGACUAGGAGAUCCAUUUAUUCGUUCGGUUUAUUCAUUCCAGGCUUCCAGUGUUUUAGAAAAGAUCGGACUUAGUUUAUUUCGGUUAACGUACGUAAUUUUAUGGUGGUUAGAGCCAUGAUUUGUUAUAGAUCGUUAACAAACGUUUCCCUUUUCAAAAACCCUGUCGAAUAACUUAACUCUUGGGAAAGGAAAAUUUUUAUAUAAACAAUUUACAAUUAGUCAGUUAGUUAAACAAACUAUCUUGUAUAUUGUCCGUUGAAUAAUCGAACUCUAUUUGCUUAUAUAAUAACAUGUUAAUCUUCAUUCAAGCUUAUUGUUAUAAUUAUAAUUUAACACAUUGUUGCAUCCAAAAGCAACCAAUUUCUACGGAUACAUUGCAUAUAUAAACACAGUGCCAUUCGUGUGACUUUCGGGUCAUCUAUUUAAUAUUCCACUGGCAUGUUCAAUAAUUAUGGACAUCGCCUAAUCCGUAACGCAAUGGCCGAACAAUGGCGCGAAAAUGGUAUCUGUUACCAAAGGUAGGGGCACCACGAAUUAAACGACGAGAGGAGAGUACCGAUCGGUUAUGGGAAGCCGACGAACCGACGUUUCCAACAGUCGUUCCUCGACAAUGGAAGAAUUCUCUUCCAUUCCUAGAUUCGAUCUGUUUAAUAAUUAACUUCUAUAACGUGCGAAUCGAAUAAUUUUGAUCGAAUAAAGGAAGAUAUUGAAAAAGUGCAAGAAACGAAUUAUUCAAUUAUUCGGACAAUGAUUUUUAAUUGACAAAAUUCCAAUAACAUGGCUGCCACGUGCGAGACACCCCGUGGAAGAAGAAGAAACAGACCCAACUUUUUAGAUCUUUCUGCUAUUCCACUAAGACGAGAGUCGUUCUUAUCCCUCGAUAUAGAUAAAGAAAAAACUAAUGAAUUUAUAUCGAGUCGUUCGACAUCAUAUCCCAGAGGCAACUCGCGUACGUCAUUGGUCUAUUGUAUCGUCGAACUAUUAUCUUAGUACUUCCUGUCCACGCGCGAACGAUCGCAUAACGGCUCGAUCAUUUAUCGAGACUAUUAAUCCAAGUUAAGGCCGGAAAUACCAUAAGCGGAAGACACGAGCAUCACGUUCUAAUCCGGUGGGGGAUAAAUUUACAGUUGAUCGAUUAUUUCCAAUGGAUACCAUCUUAUAUUAUCCGAUCUAUAAAAUCGCCUAUCGAAUAAUAAUAAUUCCAAUGUUUUCUCUUUAGUUCUAUGUUAAUAAAGCCACGAGUCUUUACUAACUUUCUAUUACAAUUUCUAUUUGGUGUUACAUGAUAUUUAAUUUAAAAAUGAUAAUAAUACUUUAAAUAUUCACUAACACGAUCGUUGCCAUUUUAAUUUCUUACUAUAACACACUCGUGUGAUAGAAUUGCAAGAAUGUAGAAAAAGGGAAAGAGAAAAAAUAAAGAAACAAUAAUUUUUAUACAAUACCGAGGUCAAAAGUAACUCAAUCACGCUCGUCACAGACAAAGCACGGAGACUUCUGACAAGGGGUCUUUUGUACCACAGAUAUUGAUAUCUUCCAAGCAACGAUACUUGGAAACUCCGAAGUUCAUGAUCUUCUAACGGGGUGCGGUACAACGAAUCGUUCGUAUAAAGUUCGUGCAAUUUUCUCGCCAUUUAUUCACAAAACAAAACAAAAUAAAAUCAUCUAAACGUUUCUCGAGUCACGAACGAUUACAACCACGAAUAGCUUCAUUUCUCCAUUCAUACUAUAUUUUUUCCGUAGCUUUGAAGGAAAAAAGAAAGUAUAAAUCGUUUUAACGGAUCUCACAUCGAAUAUCCUCUCCUCUUGUCGUUCGAAGAUAAAGUCGAGUGCUUCUUCGACGAAGUAAAAGAACAAAAUAAGAUUACGAAGAAGAGAAUCGAGAAAAAGGAUCUGGGAUAGCGUAUUCGCAACGACAAAAAGGGAAGAAGAAGAAGAAGAUAGAGAGAGAAGAGGGGGGGGGAGGGAAAGAGCAAAAGCGAGAAAGAGAGAGUACUUCGUUGUACAUAAGAUUAUUUGCUCGAGCCAGAAGAGAGAAGACACUCACUAGAGUGUCGCGCGAAACGUAACAGCACGUCGUCGUAAAUACUUUAUUUCAAAAGCCGUGAGUAAAAUUUACGGGUCAGAGAGAAAGAGAGAAAGAGAGAGAAAGAGAAACGCACACACAUUCAUAGUUGACGUAUCUUCUUCUUCGGGUUUCUCUCUUUCCAGAUCUCCAUCUUUCCAGCGAAUGUCUUUUCAGGCUUAUAUCUCGCGGUCCAGCCGUUUCAGAAUACGGAGUUGACGAACUCUCGAGCUUGGAGAGGCCAAAAAUAACCGGAGCGAAACAAACCGUGAUUUUCUUCCUGCUCCGCUACGUGUAACGUUUCGUCAGGACGACGGAUAAAUAAACCUGUCGUCGGGAAUAGACGAAGGAAAAGAGGGAAGGGGAGAAAGAAAGAAACAGAAAAAAAAAACAGAAAAGGGUUUACAAAGUUUCUACGAUUGGUAGACCUUUGGUUAACGUUUGUUUUCACCUUUUGCGAAAUUAACGUCAAAACUCUGGACUCGAGUUCUUUUUUUUUUCUUUUUUUUUUUUUUUUUUUACGAGAACAAAACAAAUGUAACGUGCACAGCGUUGAAAAUAUUAUCGGGGGAUAUGAUUGUCGAGUUAAUUCCGAUUUUUCUACACGUAGUAAUAUCAAAAGAUACUAAUGAAGAUUAGAAAGGCAUAGUUAACAGUGUUACAAUUGAAAUAUUUGUAAGGUCGUUAAAGGAGAAAAGAUAUGAAGAAUAUUAAUGACGCGUUUGCAGUAAUAAAACUAAUUAUCUAAUAUCUUCGCAGUCUUUAAUAACUUUUCGUCAUGCACGUUUGUCUUCCUUUUUUUUUCCUUUACCACCCUGACAAAAAGGUGAACAUCGCGUGUAUCACGUUACCACGCCGAAAAUGAAGCGCAUACACAGACUCUAGGGAUAAACAAGGGUGUGUCGCAGUUAAUGGCCAGCUCCUGUUAGGUAUAUGAUAUGUAAAUGAAUUGCUAGCAAGCGCAAACGCUCGCACGGAAGUUCUAAAUUAAAACGUUCGCGAGUUGGAUUCACUGAAAGUAAAAUAUCACGAAGGAAGACAAGAAUGAAAAAAAAUACAUAUACAUGGUCGUUCUUUAAAAAUCUAAGCAGGGAAAGGACACUUUUUAUAAGAGUAAUCCUUUGAUACAUCCGGGGAGCUAUGUAAUAGACACGAUGUAAUUUACAUGUCAAUAUCUAAUUCUAUUUUAAAUAAUCCUGCACAAUUUUUACUAUUUCUAUUUUACGUAGGAUUUUUAAAGGAUCUCUUAUAUUUUUCAAAUACCUACCAUUUCGAAACCAAAAUUUAAAUCGAUUUGGAGUUACUCGUAAAUUCUCGUUCGGAGAGACCACAUUUUCUAUAUCAAUUUAUCCAGUCGUUAUAUGGUAGAGUGGAUGCACAUAUAUAUGUAGAUUUUGACAUAAAACGUAAAGAUCUAAAAAGGUUUUUGGAUAUCUCAAGUACUUUAAGAGAUAAUCGUUUAUUAAACAUUUCGCUAUGUGAAGAGCAUAAGGAUCUUCUCUUUACGAUCAUGACUAA